GGGGGUGCACCGGUUUCGACGGAUGUGAGAGUCCGUUGGUUGCAUGUAGGUGUGAAGGCGCCUUAAGCUGACAAAAAACUAACUGCAAUCUUCAACAAAAAAGAAGAAGAUUCUUCUGAAGAACAGUUUGCUCUUGCUGCGUAAGCAGUGAGCACGGAACUCAUGGGGUGCUGUUCCUAACUUUGUGAUGUUCUGACGCUAACAGGAACUUGUUGUGCAUUGCGUUCGGCCAUUGCGCAAGACAUUUAGCCGGAAUACGGAAAAGACGCUUGUUAUGCUGCUACCUUUUCCCGACAAUUACCUCGCAUAACUAAACAUGUAGAAGCCUUCGUGCUGCAUACCCGGACGCGGGUUCAAUUCCCGCCAUCUCCA
rnacentral:tmRNA from 1 species